rnacentral:rRNA from 1 species
UACGAAGGGGGCUAGCGUUGCUCGGAAUUAUUGGGCGUAAAGCGCGCGCAGGCGGUCCUUUAAGUCUGAUGUGAAAGCCCACGGCUCAACCGUGGAGGGUCAUUGGAAACUGGGGGACUUGAGUACAGAAGAGAAGAGUGGAAUUCCACGUGUAGCGGUGGAAUGCGUAGAGAUGUGGAGGAACACCAGUGGCGAAGGCGACUCUUUGGUCUGUAACUGACGCUGAGGCGCGAAAGCGUGGGGAGCAAACAGG